rnacentral:rRNA from 1 species
UUAAAGGAAUUGACGGGGCCCGCGACAAGCGGUGGAGCAUGUGGUUUAAUUCGACGCAACGCGAAGAACCUUACCAGGGCUUGACAUCCCGAGAAUCCCCUGGAAACAGGGGAGUGCCUUUCGGGGAACUCGGAGACAGGUGCUGCAUGGCUGUCGUCAGCUCGUGUCGUGAGAUGUUGGGUUAAGUCCCGCAACGAGCGCAACCCUUGUCUUUAAUUGCCAGCAUUCAGUUGGGCACUUUAAAGAGACUGCCGGUGUUAAACCGGAGGAAGUGGGGAUGACGUCAAGUCCUCAUGGCCUUUAUGCUUAGGGCUACACACGUGCUACAAUGGGUGGUACAAAGAGAAGCCAACUCGCGAGAGCGCGCCAAUCUCAAAAAGCCAUCCUCAGUUCGGAUUGGAGUCUGCAACUCGACCCCGUGAAGUCGGAAUCGCUAGUAAUCGCGGAUCAGCAUGCCGCGGUGAAUACGUUCUCGGGCCUU